rnacentral:rRNA from 1 species
UAGGGAAUAUUGCAAAAUGGGCGAAAGCCCGAUGCAGCAACGCCGCGUGGGCGAUGAAGGCCUUCGGGUCGUAAAGCCCUUUUUGAGGGGAUGAGGAAGGACAGUACCCUCAGAAUAGGCCUCGGCUAACUACGUGCCAGCAGCCGCGGUAAAACGUAGGAGGCGAGCGUUAUCCGGAUUUACUGGGCGUAAAGCGCGUGCAGGCGGAUUGGAGAGUUGGAUGUGAAAGCUCCCGGCUUAACUGGGAGAGGUCGUUCAAUACUUCCAGUCUUGGGUGCAGUAGAGGGAAGUGGAAUUCCGGGUGUAGUGGUGAAAUGCGUAGAUAUCCGGAGGAACACCAGUGGCGAAAGCGGCUUCCUGGACUGUAACUGACGCUCAGACGCGAAAGCUAGGGUAGCAAAC